UUGUUAUUUUUUGCCCUGAAAAGAAGGUAGCCGGAUUAGUAGUCUAAUUGAGUAGAUGCUGGUGAGGGAGGGUUACUUGAUUUUUAUUGAGUACAUUAUGCUCUGCUUUGUGACGAGGUUUGAAAUUUGAUGGUUCUGAUGUGUAAUAGAGGGGGCAAAAGUGUUACCCAUUUCAUUGUUUCUGUGCAUGUUUACGUUGACCAUCGGUGGCAGGAGGCGGCAUUGCUGGCGGCCGAAGGGGUGCUUUUGGAAGCAGGUGGAAUAGUCGGCAGCUGUGGGGAUUCGUUAUUCUCCGAGGUUGGCGGGCUCGACGCGAGGCUCGAUGGGGCUGCGGGAUUGUCAAGCAGGCGGGUGAUUGCUCAACGAUGACUGGAGACGAUCUUCGGUAUUACAACUGGUUUAUACCAAUGGGUUAUUUGCAUCUCAAGUUAAAUUAGUCACUGUUGAUCAACAAUGAGAUGUGGCCAUUGUUUGAUGGAUCAUAGAUGGUACGGAUGUGCAAUGAAACAAUGAUAUACCCAAUGUAUUGGACCCAAACACCUUCCUGAAAAUUGUUCUGAAGGGGUUAGCACAAGGAAACUAUUGUUAUGACUUGCGAGGUCUGCUGGAGGUGACCGGAUCCGGAUGACUUGAGCAAAGCUGUGAAAAUUCACGGCAAGGGAUGGGGGUACAAGGCAUGGGUCUGCGGCGCCACACCUUGCUAUUCCCUG